UACGUAGGGACCGAGCGUUGUCCGGAUUCAUUGGGCGUAAAGAGCUCGUAGGCGGCUAUUCAAGUCGAACGUGAAAUCUCGGAGCUCAACUCCGAACUGCGUUCGAUACUGGGUAGCUAGAGUCUGGAGAGGAGACUGGAAUUCAUGGUGUAGCAGUGAAAUGCGUAGAGAUCAUGAGGAAGACCAGUGGCGAAGGCGGGUCUCUGGACAGUUCCUGACACUGAGACACGAAGGCCAGGGGAGCGAACAGG
rnacentral:rRNA from 1 species